UCAAAAGAUCUCAACAGGGCACAUUCUAGCUUUACAUUGAAAUGGAGGAAUAUUUCAGUGGCUCAGACAGUGACAGAGAACACAAGUUGUGUUUACUUGUGAUGAUUUCAUUCUCAUUCUCCUGUCUGAAGACUGCAGUAAUGACCAUUUAUGCAGCAGUUAAAUGAUUGGAAGUGUUAAGCACAAAUAAUGACUCUCUGGACUCAAAUUCAUGAGUAUACCCACCUUCUACUCUUGUUUGAAGUGAUUGUUGAUUCUUAUUUGGGUGAAAGGGAUUCAUAUAUGGUUUUUAUAGCUGAAGGAACUUACCUCAUCUCUUUUCAGAAGUUUUCCUCACUUCAACAGUUAGUGUAGUUCCGGAGCUUAAUACCUGGAUCUUGUUCCUGUGACAGAAAAAUGGCCUUCAUGCUCUACUUGUUCAAAUGGUUUCUGACUGGAAGUAAUCAUUAUAUGAAGCACGAUUUUCGACCACGCGAUGGGAGAAUUUUGCCUCGAAUUUUGCUGCUUUUGGUAAAUUAAACUGAUUUUUUUUGCACUUAGCCUGGA
rnacentral:lncRNA from 1 species